AUUGAACGCUGGCGGCAUGCUUUACACAUGCAAGUCGAACGGCGGCACGGGUGCUUGCACCUGGUGGCGAGUGGCGGACGGGUGAGUAAUACAUCGGAACGUGUCCAGAAGAGGGGGAUAACGCAUCGAAAGAUGUGCUAAUACCGCAUAUGCUCUGAGGAGGAAAGUAGGGGAUCGAAAGACCUUACGCUUUUGGAGCGGCCGAUGUCUGAUUAGCUAGUUGGUGGGGUAAGGGCCUACCAAGGCGACGAUCAGUAGUUGGUCUGAGAGGACGACCAGCCACACUGGGACUGAGACACGGCCCAGACUCCUACGGGAGGCAGCAGUGGGGGAAUUUUGGACAAUGGGCGCAAGCCUGAUCCAGCAAUGCCGCGUGAGUGAAGAAGGCCUCGGUUGGUAAGACUCUUUCUAGUCGAGAAGAAAAGGACUGCAGUGAAUAACUGUAGUUUAUGACGGUAUCGACAGAAGAAG
rnacentral:rRNA from 1 species